GACGAACGCUGGCGGCGUGCCUAAUACAUGCCAGUUGAGCGCUGAAGGUUGGUACUUGUACCAACUGGAUGAGCAGCGAACGGGUGAGUAACGCGUGGGGAAUCUGCCUUUGAGCGGGGGACAACAUUUGGAAACGAAUGCUAAUACCGCAUAAAAACUUUAAACACAAGUUUUAAGUUUGAAAGAUGCAAUUGCAUCACUCAAAGAUGAUCCCGCGUUGUAUUAGCUAGUUGGUGAGGUAAAGGCUCACCAAGGCGAUGAUACAUAGCCGACCUGAGAGGGUGAUCGGCCACAUUGGGACUGAGACACGGCCCAAACUCCUACGGGAGGCAGCAGUAGGGAAUCUUCGGCAAUGGACGAAAGUCUGACCGAGCAACGCCGCGUGAGUGAAGAAGGUUUUCGGAUCGUAAAACUCUGUCGGUAGAGAAGAACGUUGGUGAGAGUGGAAAGCUCAUCAAGUGACGGUAACUACCCAGAAAGGGACGGCUAACUACGUG
rnacentral:rRNA from 1 species